CCGGCUCCUAGAAACCCUUAAUAGUAGAAAACCAUAGGGGGAAACACCAGUAAUUAGACAGAACAGAAUACAAUUGCUUUUUUAAAAGUUAUUUUGAUCCCUGGUGGUCAAAUGAAAAACAUGAUCAUGGGAGGCCAUGGAAGGUGAGCCGUCGAUAUUCCGAAGGGAAGCCGGGAUCCGUCCAAGGGCGUUCGAGAUAAAAGUACCAUGGCUACUGUGACGUAUCCUGACUAAUGCCGACAGCACAGGGAGCCUUUGCCUGCCGGAGGAAGCGGUGAGGAAGAGGUGGUGCGUCGUGCACUUCCUGUUGCUGUUUUAGGACAGCUUGGACGUAGUUUGUUCCAGGGAAGUGCUGCUGAACCAGGUAAACCCAGCCCCCCAUCUCCAGGAGCAGAGGCUGCAAGGACAGGAAGACAAUGAGGCAAUGGUGUGCUG
rnacentral:lncRNA from 10 species